rnacentral:tRNA from 1 species
UCCCUGAUGGUCCUGUGGUUAAAACUCUGCGUUUCCAAUGCAGGGGGCAUGGGUUCAAUCCCUGGUUGGGGAA